CUACGGGCUGCUGCAGUGAGGAAUAUUGCACAAUGGGGGGAACCCUGAUGCAGCAACGCCGCGUGGAGGAUGACGCAUUUCGGUGUGUAAACUCCUUUUAUAUGUCAAGAAAAUGACGGUAGCAUAUGAAUAAGCACCGGCUAACUCCGUGCCAGCAGCCGCGGUAAUACGGAGGGUGAAGCGUUACUCGGAAUCACUGGGCGUAAAGGACGCGUAGGCGGGUUGGAAAGUCAGGUGUGAAAUCCUACAGCUUAACUGUAGAACUGCACUUGAAACUUCUAAUCUAGAGUAUGGGAGGGGGGGAUGGAAUUAGUGGUGUAGGGGUAAAAUCCGUAGAUAUCACUAGGAAUACCUAAAGCGAAGGCGAUCUCCUGGAACAUUACUGACGCUAAGGCGUGAAAGCGUGGGGAGCAAACAGGAUUAGAUACCCCGGUAGUC
rnacentral:rRNA from 1 species